rfam:Drosophila busckii chromosome 3L sequence.
GUUGGAUAUGGUGAUGUGGCCCCCAAAACUUAUCCAGGCAUGUUUGUGGGAGCUCUUUGCGCUUUGGCCGGUGUCCUGACCAUUGCACUACCCGUACCUGUUAUCGUUAGUAAC